rnacentral:rRNA from 1 species
CAUGCAGUCGAACGAUGAACCGCUUUUCGGGCGGGGAUUAGUGGCGAACGGGUGAGUAACACGUGGGCAAUCUGCCCUGCACUCUGGGACAAGCCCUGGAAACGGGGUCUAAUACCGGAUAUGACCGUCUGCCGCAUGGUGGAUGGUGUAAAGCUCCGGCGGUGCAGGAUGAGCCCGCGGCCUAUCAGCUUGUUGGUGAGGUAGUGGCUCACCAAGGCGACGACGGGUAGCCGGCCUGAGAGGGCGACCGGCCACACUGGGACUGAGACACGGCCCAGACUCCUACGGGAGGCAGCAGUGGGGAAUAUUGCACAAUGGGCGAAAGCCUGAUGCAGCGACGCCGCGUGAGGGAUGACGGCCUUCGGGUUGUAAACCUCUUUCAGCAGGGAAGAAGCGAAAGUGACGGUACCUGCAGAAGAAGCGCCGGCUAACUACGUGCCAGCAGCCGCGGUAAUACGUAGGGCGCAAGCGUUGUCCGGAAUUAUUGGGCGUAAAGAGCUCGUAGGCGGCUUGUCACGUCGGUUGUGAAAGCCCGGGGCUUAACCCCGGGUCUGCAGUCGAUACGGGCAGGCUAGAGUUCGGUAGGGGAGAUCGGAAUUCCUGGUGUAGCGGUGAAAUGCGCAGAUAUCAGGAGGAACACCGGUGGCGAAGGCGGAUCUCUGGGCCGAUACUGACGCUGAGGAGCGAAAGCGUGGGGAGCGAACAGGAUUAGAUACCCUGGUAGUCCACGCCGUAAACGGUGGGCACUAGGUGUGGGCAACAUUCCACGUUGUCCGUGCCGCAGCUAACGCAUUAAGUGCCCCGCCUGGGGAGUACGGCCGCAAGGCUAAAACUCAAAGGA